UAUUACUUUAGUACUUGGCCACAAUACCAUUAUAAUACCAUUAGAUUCUUAUUCCCUCUUACUCCCUUAUUACUUUAGUACUUGGCCACAAUACCAUUAUAAUACCAUUAGAUUCUUAUUCCCUCUUACUCCCUUAUUACUUUAGUACUUGGCCACAAUAUCAUUAUAAUACCAUUAGACUCUUAUUCCCUCUUACUCCCUUAUUACUUUAGUACUUGGCCACAAUACCAUUAUAAUACCAUUAGACUCUUAUUCCCUCUUACUCCCUUAUUACUUUAGUACUGGGCCACAAUACCAUUAUAAUACCAUUAGAUUCUUAUUCCCUCUUACUCCCUUAUUACUUUAGUACUUGGCCACAAUAUCAUUAUAAUACUAUUAGACUCUUAUUCCCUCUUACUCCCUUAUUACUUUAGUACUUGGCCACAAUACCAUUAUAAUACCAUUAGAC
rnacentral:lncRNA from 1 species